rnacentral:rRNA from 1 species
AUACGGGAGGCAGCAGUGGGGAAUCUUGCGCAAUGGGCGAAAGCCUGACGCAGCGACGCCGCGUGUGGGAUGAAGGCCUUCGGGUCGUAAACCACUGUCGCGAGGGACGAAUACAUUGACGGUACCUCGAAAGGAAGCACCGGCUAACUCUGUGCCAGCAGCCGCGGUAAUACAGAGGGUGCGAGCGUUGUCCGGAAUCACUGGGCGUAAAGGGCGCGUAGGUGGCCAUGUAAGUCGGGGGUGAAAUGCUGCGGCUCAACCGCAGCGCUGCCUUCGAGACUGCAUAGCUUGAGCACGGUAGAGGCCGAUGGAAUUCCCGGUGUAGCGGUGGAAUGCGUAGAGAUCGGGAAGAACACCAAUGGCGAAGGCAGUCGGCUGGGCCGUUGCUGACACUGAGGCGCGACAGCGUGGGGAGCAAACAGGAUUAGAUACCCUUGUAC